rnacentral:lncRNA from 1 species
AUGUUCACAGCAGACAUUACAGGCAGUAAGGACAUCCUUGGCCCCCCAGCCCUGACCCCGGAGCGCCCUUGCCCCAUGCCAGCACCAAGACCCGCAGCGCUGCAGGACCAUGGGGGGUCUCAGGGACGUGUCCUGCCCCAGCACCCGGUGUCCCAGCCCCGGUGCUCUCCCACCCAUGGGCCCUGCGAGGCACCGGGCACACCACAGCCCGGGCAGGAGGGAGGUGAUGCAGGGGGUGAGGAUCUCACACCCCGAGGCGAGGGGCAGCCCGUGGCCGGUGCGCUCUGGGCAGGCUGGGGCACCCCAGGGCCAGGCGCUGUACCCAGGACCCCUGCCCCCAUCCUGCUGGGACCCCCUCUUGGUCACCACCCUUCUUCAGGAGGGUCUCAAACAGGGAUGGACAGACAGACAGACAGACUUCUCCCAGCUGGGACAGGGACUCCUGAGGGGACAGGGCAGAGCGAAGGAGCCGCGGGCUGCUCUGUGACACCUCUGUCACCCAGUGGGCACCAGCAGCCCCGUCCCCUCGGGGGGGGGCACGGCGGGCACUGGCUGCCCCUGUGGGUGUCCUUGGGGCCGUGCGGGUGGCGCAGCCUUUGGUCACCCACCCGAGAGGGUCCCUGGGCAGGGGCUGGGCUGGAGGGCGCUGGGGACCUGCUGGGGACACCUGCCCUGUGCCGGACCCCACUGCUCCUCCUGCCCUCCUCUGCCCCCAUCCUUCCCCAUCCCCGCUCCUCUGCUCCAGCUGCGGAGCCGACUCCUGAACCCCUCAGCACCACCCCCAAGGCACCCUCUUCAACUCAACAUGUUGGCAUCAGCCCAAAAAUUCCUCCUGGCCCCAGUGUCGCUGAGGAGGGGAGGGGCACGGUUAGUGGGUUAAUGGGGAGGCCGGCAGCCUUUGGCCACAGAUUGCACACCCGAGAGGCUGGGGCUACCUCUGAAGCUCACCAGCACCGGGUCAAUGAGCACAAGCAAAAACCAGUGAGGACGGAGAAAGGGAGCAGCUGCAGCUGGGUGCUGGCCCCUGCUGAGCGCAUCCCCUCGCCCCCAGCGCCGUGCCCCUGGUGUCCUGCAGGGCCAUGUCCUGCCCCACUGCUCCUGGCCAUGUCCUGCUGCACGGCGCUACCCCGCGUGCCCACCCAGGGGGGUCCUGAAGCCUCCACCUCGGCAGGACUUGAGCUCGCUCAGGAGUUUUACCUAAUUACGGACCUCUGGAAGCAAAGCGGGGGCUGCCGACCAGCCUCAGCAUUAGCAGUACCCUCACCCUGCCAGGUGGAGAGCGGAGUGCCUCUGGCUGGCUCGUCCCUGUCCCUGUCCCUGCCCCUGUCCCUGUCCCAUCCCUGGCCUGUCCCUGUCCCCGUCCCCAUCCCUGUCCUGUCCCUGUCCCUGUCCCCAUCCCUGUCCCUGUCCUGUCCCUGUCCCUUCCUGUCCCCUGGCCGUGUCAGUGGCUGGGAGGAUGCUCCAAGCACCAACCCGUGGCCAGCCCCAGUCCCGGCGCCUCGUGUUAGUUAG